GAUGAACGCUGGCGGCGUGCCUAAUACAUGCAAGUCGAGCGAACAGACGAGGAGCUUGCUCCUCUGACGUUAGCGGCGGACGGGUGAGUAACACGUGGAUAACCUACCUAUAAGACUGGGAUAACUUCGGGAAACCGGAGCUAAUACCGGAUAAUAUAUUGAACCGCAUGGUUCAAUAGUGAAAGACGGUUUUGCUGUCACUUAUAGAUGGAUCCGCGCCGCAUUAGCUAGUUGGUAAGGUAACGGCUUACCAAGGCGGCGAUGCGUAGCCGACCUGUGAGGGUGAUCGGCCACCCUGGAACUUGGCCACCGUCCAGACUCCUACGGGAGGCAGCAGUAGGGAAUCUUCCGCAAUGGGCGAAAGCCUGACGGAGCAACGCCGCGUGAGUGAUGAAGGUCUUCGGAUCGUAAAACUCUGUUAUUAGGGAAGAACAAAUGUGUAAGUAACUAUGCACGUCUUGACGGUACCUAAUCAGAAAGCCACGGCUAACUACGUG
rnacentral:rRNA from 1 species